GUGUGGAAGAGCUGUUGUGGUCAGUGCAGUGCUGGAUCAGACGGCGGUCUGUGCAGCUCCAGAGCGGCUGUGGUGUCUGGGAGCAGGGAUCUGGACUGCUGGCGCGUCAGAGGAAGAGUCUGGCUGUUUGUGAAGCGUGCUGUGGGAUGCUGGGAACAGAAGCCACGGGCUGCACUCUGAUGGCUGGUCUCUUGUCCUCGGGACCGGCUCUAAGGCUGCUGUAGGCCGGGGGUCCCAAACACGUCUGUCUCUGCAGCAGCUGCAGGAUAUUCUGGAUGUCUGACGUCAUCUGACACUCUAACCUGGUGUUCCUGCAGUUGGUCUAGUCUCUGCUCCACUUCUCCGUACGUGACGUCACAGUCCAGAUCAUCAUCUUGAGCGGCGCCGUGCUCCUGCGCAGCCGUGUCCAUGUCUGCUUUCACACUGUCAGCUACCCAUCCAUCAGUCUGCAUCUCUGAAACAGAUAAGAUACACACACAUUACUGUUGUGUCAUUUCAUUCAGUUUUUACUUUAUAGACAGAAUCCUUUUUGUUUUGUAUCCUAUUUGAUGCAUCUGGCUUUUACGCAUCAUAUGAGACCCUGGAGCACAAAAGCAGUCUGAAGUCUCUGGGGUAUAUUUGUAGCAAUUGCCAACAAAACAUUGUAUGGGUCAAAAUUAUUGAUUUGUCUUUUAUGCCAAAAAUCAUAAGGAUAUUAAAUAAAGAUCAUGUUCCAUGAAGAUAUUUAGUAAAUUUCCUGCCGCAAAUAUAUAAAAACUUAAUUUUUAAUCAGUAAUGUGCAUUGCUAAGAACUUCAUUUGAACAACUUUAAUAAUGAUUUCCUCAGUAUUUCGAUUUUUUUGCAUCCUCAGAUUCCAGAUUUUCAAAUAGUUGUAUCUCUGCCAAAUAUUGACCUAUCUUAACAAACCAUGCAUUAAUGUAAAGCUUAUUUAUUCAGCUUUCAUUUACCUAUACAUAUGAAUUAAUAUAAUUGACAGUUAAGACUGCUUUUGUGGUCCAGAGUCACAAAAGUGAGAAUAUGGAGCUAAUACGUGAGGAGGAAAAAACAUUUUAUUCAGAGGCAUGCAAUUCUUUUAACUUGUAAAUCAGCAAGAAAUGAUCUUGAUAAUAGUUUAGCCGAAUACUUACAUAAAAUGAAAUACACUAAAUAUCCGCCAUCGGUCUAUAUCUCCAGUAAUAUGUCUUAGUAUGAGUAUAUUUAAAUGUAUUUAAAUUAUAUUUAAAUUUAAUAUUCAAAACAUAUAUUGCAAAGCAAUACAAAGAGUGUUUAUCUUGAAAUACUACUUUCAAUAAUAUAUUGGUAGUAAUUGCAUACUUCAAAUUCAAAAAUCAAGGAAGAUUAUAAAAACUGCAUGUUUUUCAGCCUGAAAAGCUUUCUAUCAUAUGACUAUGAAAAGAUCAGAAAAAUAGUGUACAAUGUUAUAUCACCUUUUAAACAAUUUAGUUGUGCUUUUCGUCCUUUUUGGUGUUUAACAGUCUCAAUUAUGGCGUGGGUUCAGAAAGGCAUGAAGGGAAAUGAUUACAACAUUUAAAUUGUUGGGGGUACAAUUGCUUUAACAUUACAAUGGCAUGAUAAUCAUAUUGAGUCGAGUGUGUUUGUGCACGUGGAGGGCAUUUUCCAGUAGUUUGCGUGGCUGAAGCGCAGGAGGGAACACUGUGUGCUCGUUCAGGAGAGUUAGGGAAGAUCUGGCCGCUGGAUUUUCCUAAAGCUUGUAAAACGGGCCGCGCUGUGCCUUAAGCUCCUGAAAGACCCUGUUUACCGUGGCAUGUACCUCUCUCUCUCUCACUCUUUCUCUCUCUUGCUCAUCAUGCUGCUUUUGCCUGGAUUUAGGAACAGACCGAUGCGAUCAAUUCUUUUUAUAUUUGCGUCCGAGCUCUGUUUCCUUUUAUACCCUGUCGAGCAGUGUUUUAAGGACUAACAUGUCUGAAAAGUUUUAAGGACGAAUGUGCGAUGGUUUGUUUGUUUUGAAGUCAUCCAUCAAACUGAAAGCCUGCUGCUUCUGAAAGCUGAAAGCACCGAAUGUACAGAGUAUUUUAAAACGUGUGAAGGUCGAUAUGCUUUUAUUUUUUAUGACAUCAAAAAGCGACAGAGGAGUGUAAAUAAUUUAUCAUUUCCAGGUAGAAUAAAUUAAAAAGUUUAAAAAUCGACAUUAGAAAAUAUACAGUUACAUUUUAAAAGUUGAUAUAAAUGAUCAACUAAAUGAUAUAAAAUACAAAAUUAUUAAUUAAAAUUAAUGGCUAUAAAUAUUGCCAUCAAGAUAAAAAAUUUAUACAUUUAUAUGUACAUAUGUAAAUACAUUCAUAUAAAAAUAUAAUAUAAAAACUGCAGAACAUGGCACAUUGGUAAUAUAUGAUUUCUAUAAAUAUGUUAAAUAUGAUGUCAUCAGAGUAUAUAUAUAUGUAAUACUAAUCAAUUUAAAGUCAAAGAUUGAAAAUAACAGUUGAAUCAAAUUGAACAAUUAAAUUGUUAGUUAAAAAAAGAUGAAUAAUUUAUUUCUAUAAUGAAAUAUAAUGUGCUCACCAAACGUCUGUAGGGUUUUGGACGAUCAGCAUAAAUCAUUAUUAUUUUGUGAUGAUUCUACAUCAAAAAGGGACAACUAAUAGAACAUGUUAUUUAAACAAAUUUAUAUAUAUAAAAUAAAUAAAUGGUACACUGCAACAACAGCUACAAGUAAAACAUUCCCUGUACGCAAAGAAAUAAGGAUUUACGCUGAGGUUUUUCCUGUCAUGAUCUGCUCUAUAAUAUUUGAAUGGCUAGAUGAUGACAGAUUCACACAUCGAUCUCAUUAGUGACUAUUAGCGACUUGAGCUGUGUUUGUGAAUAAAAGAUGUUUGUGACUGAAUGCCCAAGUCAGACUCGAUGAGAUCCACUGAAACCUUUAUUAAGCAUAAUGGGCUUUUUGGGAAACAGACAGGAGAGCGAUGUCUCGCAAACAAACCACGUAAUGAGCACAAUCUUCCCCUAGACUUGACCUUACUUGGUUUUUAACUGACUUUGACAUUUGUCUACAAUUCCCAAAUGUGCAUCAGGCCAAAUGAGUUUUUGAAUGAAUUAGGACAUAAUGUAUGGUGUAUUUGUCCCUUCAGAUUUGAAGCGACAGUGAACGAACUCUGAAUGCUCACCAUCAUAUGUGGUCUUCUCCGUGUCUUCAGCAGGAGGACUGCAGGUGUAGCUCUGUACUGAUGGAUACUCUGUUAUACCUGCUCCCAGAAGCCUUUGCUGUUCCUCUCUGGAGGUGUGACGGUCCUCUGAGCUUCUCUUAGAGCUGAGACGAGACUCUCGCCGCUCCUUCCUGCACUCGCUGUCUGUUUCCUUCAGGCUUCCUCCUACGGGACGAUCGGUCAGAGGUUAAAGGUCAGCUCCAGAUUGGUGAGGAAAUAGUCAGCGAACUCUGGAUACAUGUCCAAAACCUCCAGGAGCUCCUCUCUCUGGAUGGUGUGCAGGUCACAGUAGCUGAGCGCUCGCACAUCUGCGUUGGACUUCCCGGGCUUCGCAUACAGGUGGAUCAUCUCGCCGAAUAUGUCAUUUGUACCUGGAGAAACAAAAGACACAUUCAGGUUUGGCAUAUCAUAAGUCUGCAUGGUAUUUUUGGACAAAUGUUGGAUUAUCUGGACAAGUGCUGUGACAGAGAUCUGUCUGUGUGCAUGUGGUAGCAUUCAUCUGCGCUGGAUUUCAGAUGUUGAUUGUGUCUGUAUAAGCGUGUCUGUGCAAGCGGUGUCAGUUUAGGUCAGAAUCUGUGCAUGCGGAUUAUCUCCGAAGAGAUUAUGAAUCAGAUGAUGUCAGGUAUAGUAUAUGCUCUUUUUAAAUAACAAAUGAUUGUUCCCUUGCUUUUGUUUAAAGGCCUCAUCGUCGGGGUUUCUGUUGGGCUUAAGGUCCGAAAACGUCUUAAGUUGCAUGUUCACAAAUCAAGGCCAUAAAAAGUGUUUCGUUUAGAAGGAGCGCAUGCUCUCGUACCCAGAAUGGCCACCACUAUGUCAUCCUUGAGGAUCUCGAUGGAUCCUCGAGACAGGAAGUAGAGCGCGGUGAGGACGUCCCCGCAGUGCACCAGCGUAUCUCCAGGAGGAGCAUGGGUGGUUUUGAAGCGCAUGGCGAGAGCGCGCAGACAUCCUUGAGUCGCACCUCUGAAAGCCUUGCAUCCCUGAAGGAGACUUUGGUUCAGAUGGAGACAAAUAUCUGCCUGUAAACACUCAGGAAAGCCUUUUAAGACCUGCAGAGAGAUGCGAGAAUGAAGGUCCACGAGUGCUGGAAAUACUCCUCCAGUCUCUGUCUGAGCGGGUUUGGGAUCUGGUGGAAUCGGAUGAACUCUUUCACACGGAGCAUCUGCAUGUGGUACCGUGCCGUUCCCGAAUACAGCCUCUGGAUGAUGGCAGAAACAUUCCCAAAAAUGCUGGCGUACAUCAAAGCUGGAGAGGACAGGACAGAGACUUACAUCCGAUGAGCAUGACGCAGAUGGAGAAGAUCUUCUCCGAGUUGGUGUUCGGCGACACGUUUCCAAAGCCCACGCUGGUCAGCGAGCUGAACGUGAAGUACAGUGCGGUCACGUAUUUAUCCUUUAUGGAUGGC